AAUAUGGUAUGAGGUAGGGAUCCAGAUACAUAUUUCAGCCAAGACUGCAUCUGCCCCACAAGCACAGAGCCACACCCUUGUUGCUCCACUGCCCAUCCAUACCCACCACCAGCUCACCAUGGAUGAUCAUAUUGUCUCACUCAUUGUCAGCAACAGCUCUGGCAUGUGCAAGGCUGGGUAUGAUGCUCCCCAGACCGUCUUCCUCUCCAUUAUGGGAUGCCCUAGGCACCAAGGCGUGAUGGUGGGAAUAAGUCAGAAGGACUCCUAUGUGUGUGAUGAGGCCCAGAGCAAGAGAGGCAUCCUGGCCCUGAAGUACCUACCCCAUCGAGCAUGGCAUUGUCACCAACUGGGACGACAUGGAGAAUAUAUGGCACCACACUUUCUAUAACAAGCUGCGUGUGGCUCCUGAGGAGCAUCCUGUGCUGCUGAUUGAGGCCCCCCUGAACCCCAAGGCCAACCAUGAGAAGGUGACCCAGAUCAUGUUUGAGACCUUCAAUAUGCCAACCAUGUAUGUGGCCAUCCAGGCCAUGCUGUCCCUGUAUGCCUCUGGCUAUACCACUGGCAUUGUGAUGGACUCUGGUGAUGGGGUCACCCACACUGUGCCCAUCUACGAGGGGUUUGCCCUCCCCCACACCAUCCUGCGUCUAGACCUGGCUGGCCAGGACCUGACUGACUACCUUGUGAAGAUCCUCACAGCUUCACCACCACAGCUGAGUUGGAAAUCAUGUGUGACAUCAAGGAGAAGCUGUGCUACAUUGCCCUGGACUUCAGGAAGGAGAUGGCCAUGGCGGUUUCCAGCUCCUCCCUUGAGAAGAGCUAUGAGCUGCCCGACGGCCAGGUCAUCACCAUCAGCAAUGAGCAGUUCUGCUGCCCCGAGGCACUCUUCUAGCCUUCCUUCCUGGGUAUGGAAUCUUGUGGCAUCUAUGAAACUACCUUCAACUCCAUCAUAAAGUGUGACAUGGACAUCUGUAAAGACCUGUACGCCAACACAGUACUGUCUGGUGGCACCACCAUGUACUCUGGCAUUACCGACAGAAUGCAGAAGGAGAUCACCACCCCUGUGCCCAGCACAAUGAAGAUCAAGAUCAUUGCCCCUCCCAAGCACAAGUACUCCGUGUGGAUCGGCGGCUCCAUCCUGGCCUCAGUGUCCACCUUCCAGCAGAUAUGGAUCAGCAAGCAGGAGUACGACGAGUCCAGUCCCUCCAUUGUCCACCGCAAAUGCCUCUAGGCAGAUGUGACUUGCGUUACACCCUUUCCUGACAAAAGCUAACUUGCAUAGAAAACAAGAUGAGAUUGGCAUGGAUUUAUUUGUUUUUUUGUUUUAUUUUGUUUUUUGGCUUGACUCAGGAUUUAAAAACCGUUUGAAGGUGACAGCAGUCGGUGGGAGCAAGCAUCCCCCAGAGUUCUAUAGUGUGGCUGAGGACUUGAUUGUACAUUGUUCUUUUGUUUUAUUUUGAAAGAUUUUAGCCUCUGUGGCUACCCCUUUUUUGUCCCUCAACUUGAGACAUAUGAAGGCUUUUGGUUUCCCUGGGCGUGGGUGGAGGCCGCCAGGGCUUACAUGUACACUGACUUCAGACCAGUUGAAUAAAAGUGCACACCUUUAAAAAGAAAAGAUGCGUGUUUCUACAGGAUAAUCUAGGCACAAAAUAUACCAGUCGUAUAGGAAAAUAUUGAUGUGUGCUCUUACCUUAAAAUAAAAUACUUCGUUCACCAAAAGACCCAUUAAGAUAGUCAAAAAGUGAGCUGAAGUGUAAGAUAUUCACAAUACAUAUAAUUAGCAAAGGGCUUCUAUCAAGAAUAUACAAAUAAUUCUGUCAAAUCCAUAAGAAAAAGACUACAAUCUAACGAGAGACUCACUGAUAUUAAAUAACUUUUUCAAAUAUACAACAACAUAACAAUAAUUAAAAAUAGAAUAAGGUCAUCUGAGUUCAAAUCCUAGCUCUGCCUUUUACUAGCCUUGUUGUCUGCUAUAAAUUUCUUAACUUCUCUGUUGCUUUUUCCCCACUAGUGAUAGUACUUAUAUCUUAGGGAUAUUGCAAAGAUGAAGUGAGCUAAUAUAAGCAAAGCUCCAAGAAUAAUGCCUAGCCCUUUAUGUUGACUAAAUACAUUUGAAUUUUUACUAUUAAGAAUUGGGAGAACAAACCUUUGUUUUCAUCCAAAACUCAUGCUUUUGAUCAUUACACUAUAUGGCCUUUGGGAAAUUUUUGCUGUUUGGUUCCCAGUUCACUAAAACCCUGAAUAAUUUGCUGUUCAGCCUCAACUCUUAUCAACCUUUAUAUAAGCUGUAUUAUAGGAUCGGUGCUUUAUUAUAAAUCCACUCACUCAUUUUUAAAGAAGCCUUGCAGUAACACAAAGAUGAUAAUGAUGCUAAUAACCUUUAUUUACUACUUACUGCAUGCCACACACGAAUCUACACACUUUAUAUGCCAUUUCUCCUUUAACUGCCACAUCAACUCUUUAAAGGAGGUAUGUUAUUAUCCUCAUGUUAAAUAAAAGGAAACUGAGGUACAGAAGAUUUAAGAAACUUGACCGAGAUCAUAGAGUUGCUAAGUGGCAGAGAGUAGAUGAGUGCUCAGCUUUGUUGCUCUCAGAAUCUGCUGUAAUUUUUCUGUAGGAGUAGUCAGGUAAUAGUUCAUUGAUUUUUUUGUUAGAUAUAAGAAUUUAUAUUCUUAUAUAAACAGUGAAGCAUAACACUGUUCUUUAGGAUUCUCAGGGACACAGUGUAACUCACAAAAAUAAUUGAAAUUAUUUAUAAUAGUAAACAGUUUGUAUUAUGUGUAUAUAAAUUAACCUCAGUAAUAUAUUCCACAUAGGCAGAAAUGCACAGGCAGACAAUACACUAAAAUAAUAACAGCAAUUAUUUCUGUUUAGUGAGAUUAAAGGUAGCUUCAUUUUCUUUUGUAAACUUUUU